UACGUAGGGGGCUAGCGUUAUCCGGAAUUACUGGGCGUAAAGGGUGCGUAGGCGGUCUUUCAAGCCAGAAGUGAAAGGCUACGGCUCAACCGUAGUAAGCUUUUGGAACUGUAAGACUUGAGUGCAGGAGAGGAGAGUGGAAUUCCUAGUGUAGCGGUGAAAUGCGUAGAUAUUGGGAAGAACACCGGUGGCGAAGGCGGCUUUCUGGACAGUAACUGACACUGAGGCACGAAAGCGUGGGGAGCAAACAGGAUUAGAUACCCGGGUAGUCCCUGAGCGGG
rnacentral:rRNA from 1 species